rnacentral:rRNA from 1 species
AUGCAAGUCGAACGCGAACGAGUUCUUCGGAACUUCAGUAGAGUGGCGCACGGGUGAGUAACGCGUAAGUAAUCUACCCUCGCAUUUGGGAUAACCCACCGAAAGGUGUGCUAAUACCGGAUACGUCUAUUUUAAUAUCUUUUUGAUAGAGAAAGGUGGCCUCUGCUUCAAGCUACUGUGCGGGGAGGAGCUUGCGUACCAUUAGCUAGUUGGUAGGGUAACGGCCUACCAAGGCGAUGAUGGUUAGCGGGUCUGAGAGGAUGAUCCGCCACACUGGAACUGGAACACGGACCAGACUCCUACGGGAGGCAGCAGUGAGGAAUAUUGCGCAAUGGGGGCAACCCUGACGCAGCGACGCCGCGUGGAUGAUGAAGGCCUUCGGGUUGUAAAAUCCUGUCAGAUGGGAAGAAGUGUACUAUGCCCAACACGUGUAGUAUUUGACGGUACCAUCAAAGGAAGCACCGGCUAACUCCGUGCCAGCAGCCGCGGUAAUACGGAGGGUGCAAGCGUUGUUCGGAAUUACUGGGCGUAAAGCGCGCGUAGGCGGCCGUAUAAGUCAUUUGUGAAAGUCCCUGGCUCAACCAGGGAAGUGCAUGUGAAACUGUGCGGCUUGAGUACUGGAGGGGGUAGUGGAAUUCCCGGUGUAGAGGUGAAAUUCGUAGAUAUCGGGAGGAAUACCGGUGGCGAAGGCGACUACCUGGCCAGAUACUGACGCUGAGGUGCGAA